rnacentral:rRNA from 1 species
AGUGAACGCUGGCGGUAGGCCUAACACAUGCAAGUCGAACGGCAGCACAGUAAGAGCUUGCUCUUACGGGUGGCGAGUGGCGGACGGGUGAGGAAUACAUCGGAAUCUACUUUUUCGUGGGGGAUAACGUAGGGAAACUUACGCUAAUACCGCAUACGACCUACGGGUGAAAGCAGGGGAUCUUCUGACCUUGCGCGAUUGAAUGAGCCGAUGUCGGAUUAGCUCGUUGGCGGGGUAAAGGCCCACCAAGGCGACGAUCCGUAGCUGGUCUGAGAGGAUGAUCAGCCACACUGGAACUGAGACACGGUCCAGACUCCUACGGGAGGCAGCAGUGGGGAAUAUUGGACAAUGGGCGCAAGCCUGAUCCAGCCAUACCGCGUGGGUGAAGAAGGCCUUCGGGUUGUAAAGCCCUUUUGUUGGGAAAGAAAAGCAGCAGGUUAAUACCCCGCUGUUCUGACGGUACCCAAAGAAUAAGCACCGGCUAACUUCGUG